UGGGGAAUUGUUCGCAAUGGGCGCAAGCCUGACGACGCAACGCCGCGUGGAGGAUGAAGGUCUUCGGAUUGUAAACUCCUGUUGAUUGGGACGAACAUCCAUCGGGAUAACACCCCGGAGGACUGACGGUACCGAUUGAGGAAGCCCCGGCUAACUCUGUGCCAGCAGCCGCGGUAAUACAGAGGGGGCAAGCGUCGUUCGGAAUUACUGGGCGUAAAGGGCGCGUAGGCGGCCGCCUAAGUCAGACGUGAAAUCCCUCGGCUCAACCGGGGAACUGCGUCUGAUACUGGGUGGCUUGAAUCCGGGAGAGGGAUGUGGAAUUCCAGGUGUAGCGGUGAAAUGCGUAGAUAUCUGGAGGAACACCGGUGGCGAAGGCGGCAUCCUGGACCGGUAUUGACGC
rnacentral:rRNA from 1 species